UACGUAGGGUGCAAGCGUUAAUCGGAAUUACUGGGCGUAAAGCGUGCGCAGGCGGUUUUGUAAGUCUGACGUGAAAUCCCCGGGCUCAACCUGGGAAUUGCGUUGGAGACUGCAAGGCUAGAAUCUGGCAGAGGGGGGUAGAAUUCCACGUGUAGCAGUGAAAUGCGUAGAUAUGUGGAGGAACACCGAUGGCGAAGGCAGCCCCCUGGGUCAAGAUUGACGCUCAUGCAC
rnacentral:rRNA from 1 species